rnacentral:rRNA from 1 species
AUUGAACGCUGGCGGCAUGCUUUACACAUGCAAGUCGAACGGUAACAGGCCGCAAGGUGCUGACGAGUGGCGAACGGGUGAGUAAUGCAUCGGAACGUGCCCAGUCGUGGGGGAUAACGCAGCGAAAGCUGCGCUAAUACCGCAUACGAUCUCUGGAUGAAAGCGGGGGACCGAAAGGCCUCGCGCGAUUGGAGCGGCCGAUGUCAGAUUAGGUAGUUGGUGGGGUAAAGGCCCACCAAGCCAACGAUCUGUAGCUGGUCUGAGAGGACGACCAGCCACACUGGGACUGAGACACGGCCCAGACUCCUACGGGAGGCAGCAGUGGGGAAUUUUGGACAAUGGGCGCAAGCCUGAUCCAGCAAUGCCGCGCGCAGGAAGAAGGCCUUCGGGUUGUAAACUGCUUUUGUACGGAACGAAACGGUCCGGGUUAAUACCCUGGGCUAAUGACGGUACCGUAAGAAUAAGCACCGGCUAACUACGUGCCAGCCGCCGCUGUAAUAC